UACAGGGGGGGCAAGCGUUGUUCGGAAUUACUGGGCGUAAAGGGCUCGUAGGCGGCCGGCUAAGUCCGACGUGAAAUCCCCAGGCUUAACCUGGGAACUGCGUCGGAUACUGGCGGGCUUGAAUCCGGGAGAGGGAUGCGGAAUUCCUGGUGUAGCGGUGAAAUGCGCAGAUAUCAGGAAGAACACCAAUGGCGAAGGCAGCUCUCUGGGACGGUACUGACGCUGAGACGCGAAAGCGUGGGGAGCGAACAGG
rnacentral:rRNA from 1 species